CAGCAGCCACGGUAAUGCGUAGGUGGCAAGCGUUGUCCGGAAUUAUUGGGCGUAAAGGGCUCGCAGGCGGUUUCUUAAGUCUGAUGUGAAAGCCCCCGGCUCAACCGGGGAGGGUCAUUGGAAACUGGGAAACUUGAGUGCAGAAGAGGAGAGUGGAAUUCCACGUGUAGCGGUGAAAUGCGUAGAGAUGUGGAGGAACACCAGUGGCGAAGGCGACUCUCUGGUCUGUAACUGACGCUGAGGAGCGAAAGCGUGGGGAGCGAACAGGAUUAGAUACCCCCGUAGUCCCUGUCUCUUAUAC
rnacentral:rRNA from 1 species